rnacentral:lncRNA from 14 species
AACUGAAAUGCACGUGUCACUUUGCCAGAUGACAUGUGCCUUAGAAUAUUGACAUCACAAUGGUCCUUCAGCCUGACAACUACAGAAUCCUGAGACUUCAGUAGUUUUCUAGCCACUGUAGUCACCAGUUUGGUGUCUAGAGGCAGGAGGGCAAACGAAAAUUUCACAUUGUUUGAUAAGUUCUUCAUCGCAGGCUCUACUAAAAAGGUGGAGCUCUGCAUCAGGAGAAUUGGUUUUUUUUUCAAUAUGGAUACGACUAAGGAGGAAGAUGUAGGAGAAGAAAAUCGAACCGUGGUUUGCCAAGGUGCUGCGGUUAUCCAAAGAGGCUGGAAAAGAAAGAAACAAUAUCUGACCUUGUUCAAUGACAUUUUGGUGGUAUCCAGUAAACUAAAUAAGAAAUUUAAGAUAAAACAUGUCAUUCCAUUGGCUUACCUGUGGAUUGGUGAUGAAGUGGACGCAUUCAGGUCAGACAACACUGCUGCUUCCAAGUCCAUUUACCUAUACUGGCCGAUGGGACAUGUUGUUGCCACCUUUCGUUCCAUGGAACAGACCAUUUGGUGGUAUUUCUUUCUACAAAGAUCCAUUCGUGAAGCCAAGAAACACAACAAAAUGGGACUUCCCAUGCAGAUAUUCACUGAGGACAUUGCAGGCUGUGACACUCCUCUGUAUGUAACAGCAACAAACUUUGAUGUGGUAAAUGACAUAAUCAGCAAGUUACUACCAAUGAUAAGAAAGCAUAACAUUGAAGAUUACCAACUGUGGUUCUGUCCUGGCCCUGGGAAAGCUCCAAGAGUACUCCAAGGGCAUGAGUAUCCACAUGACAUUAGAAUGAUAAAUAUUCAAAAGAACUUCAGUUCACGGGACUUAAGAAAUUUUACAGCUUUCUGUUCCCUACAUGGGGUAAUCAUGAAAUACCUAAAUGCUGAUGUACAUGGGAAAUUCAUCUUGAAGCCCAGAAACUCAGCAAGAAGCCAGCAGCAAAAAAAUAUGAAGGAAAAAACUUUUAAGAAACAAAGAACUUCUAUGACGUCGCAGUUGGACAGGGGCUCUGUGCCCCACCAGGACCAAGUAUGCACCACCCCACCAGUUAAAAAGGGAAGAAAACUGUUUGGAAGAGAACUCAGUUCCAUUUGUCAGGAUGGCAUCCUGCCCGCAGCAAUUCUGGACAUGCUGUACCUACUAAAAAAGAAAGGGCUCACAACCACGGGUGUCUUUUUAGAACCUCCGAGUAUAACUUUGUGCCAAACAGUAAAGGACAAAUUGGAUUCGGAAGAGGAGGUGGAUAUAAACAAGCAAUCAGUUAAUGUAAUGGCGUGGAUCUUUAAGGACUUCCUCCAAAACCUCAAGGGAAGUCUAAUGGCUUCAAAACUAUAUGAUGAGUGGAUUGCUGUACCCGAAAAGGUCAAUGAUGAAGAGAAAUUAGCUGCAGUGCAGAGGAUAUGUUAUCCAUAA